rnacentral:rRNA from 1 species
CGUUGAUCCUGCGGGAGAUUGCUGCUAUUAGAAUUCGAUUAAGCCAUGUAAGUCAAGGGGUUCUUCGGAACACCGGCGAAAUGCUCAGUAACACGUCAAUAAUCUGCCUUUAGGUUCGGGAUAACCUUGGAAAACUGAGGCUAAACCCGGAUAUGGAAUUAUAUCUGGAAGGAUUUAUUCUUGAAAAGUAAUGCCUAAAGAUGAGUUGGCGGUGGAUUAGGCUGUUGGUGAGGUAAUGGCUCACCAAACCUUAGAUCCGUAGGGGCCCUGAGAGGGGUAGCCCCGAGAAGGACACUGAGAAACUGGUCCUAGCCCUACGGGGUGCAGCAGGCGCGAAACCUUUACAAUGCACGGGAGUGUGAUAAGGGAAUUCUAAGUGCUUUGCUUAUGCAAGGCUUUUGCUUAAUGUAAAAAGUUAGGCGAAUAAGUGGUGGGAAAGACUGGUGCCAGCCGCCGCGGUACUACCAGCUCCACAAGUGGCAAUCACAAUUAUUGGGCCUAAAGCGUCCGUAGCCGGUUUGGUGUAUCUCUUGUGAAAUUGUUGAGCUCAACUCAACAGUAUGCAGGGGACACUGCCAGACUAGAAACUAGUAAGAGUCAGAAGUAUUCUUGGGGGAGCGGUAAAAUGUUAUAAUCCCAAGAAGACUACCAGUGGCGAAGGCGUCUGACUUGGAUAGAUUUGACGGUGAGGGACGAAAGCCAGGGGAGCGAUUCGGAUUAGAUACCCGAGUAGUCCUGGCUGUAAACUCUGCGAGCUAGGUGCUGCAUAUUCUAAAUGAAUAUGCAGUGUCGAAGCGAAGGUGUUAAGCUCGCCGCCUGGGAAGUAUAGUCGCAAGACCGAAACUUAAAGGAAUUGGCGGGGGAGCACUACAAGGGGUGCGGCGUGCGGUUUAAUCUAACUCAACGCAGAAAAUCUCACCAGAAGCGACGGCAGGAUGAAAGUCAGUCUAAAGGGCUUACUUGACGAGCCGAGAGGUAGUGCAUGGCCGUCGUCAGCUCGUGCCGUAAGGUGUCCUGUUAAGUCAGGUAACGAGCGAGACCUGUACCUAUAAUUGCUAACAACUCAUUCGUGGGGAUUGAGCACAUUAUAGGGACUGCCCUGGAAACAGGGAGGAAGGUGCAGGCUACGGUAGGUCUGUAUGCUCCGAAUCUUCUGGGCUACACGCGCGCAACAAUGGUAGAUACAAAGGGAUACAACUCCGAAAGGAGAAGUUAAACCUCAAAAAUCUAUCUCAGUUCAGAUUGAGGACUGUAACUCGCCCUCAUGACGUCGGAAUCCCUAGUAAUCGUGUUUCAACAUAGCACGGUGAAUACGUCCCUGCUCCUUGCACACACCGCCCGUCAAACCAACCGAGCCGGGUUUAGAUGAGAUUUAGUUUAUUGAUUAACUCGAAUCUAAACUCAGUGAGGUGGGUUAAGUCGUCACAAGGUA